UGCGUAGGCGGUCGGAUAAGUUUGAUGUGAAAUCUCCGGGCUUAACCCGGAAACUGCAUUGAAUACUAUUCGGCUUGAGGUCUGGAGGGGGGACUGGAAUUCUCGGUGUAGCAGUGAAAUGCGUAGAUAUCGAGAGGAACACCAGUGGCGAAGGCGAGUCCCUGGACAGGUCCUGACGCUGAGGCACGAAAGCUGGGAGGCAAACA
rnacentral:rRNA from 1 species